CCUCCACACACCAUCCUGAAGUCACCCCAACUUCUACCACCAUCACCCCCAAUCCCACCAGUACAGGAACCGGCACCCCUGUGGCCGACACCACCUCAGCCACCAGCAGCAGGCUACCCACACCCUUCACCACACACUCCCCACCUACAGGGAGCAGUCCCUUCUCUUCCACAGGUCCUGUGACUGCAACAUCCUUUCAGACCACCACUACCUAUCCAACCCCAUCACACCCUCAGACCACACUUCCCACUCACAUUCCACUUUUCUCCACCUCCUUGGUGACUCCAAGUACUCACACGGUCAUCACCCCUACCCACGCACAGAUGUCCACUUCUGCCCAUAUCCACUCAAUGCCAACAGGCACCAUUCCUCCACCAACAACGCUCAAGGCCACAGGGUCCACCCACACAGCCCCACCAAUGACAGUGACCACCAGUGGGACCAGCCAAACCCACAGCUCAUUCAGCACAGC
rnacentral:lncRNA from 1 species